rnacentral:pre_miRNA from 1 species
GGCGGGAGGCCCGAUCCUGGGCUGUGUUCCCGGUGCCCUGUGCUCCUGCGCUGUUGGAUUCACGCUCCCGGCCCAGCAGCCCCUU